AUCUCAGCCAUAAAGCAGGGCAGGACUGCUGCUUACAAUGGGGGGGAUUAGAUUCUGACGGGCUCUUGGCCGCUCUUCUCUCCCCAACAGAUGAGUAUAUACAAGCGCACUGAGCUGGUUCACCCUCUGGCCCCUGAGAAUGAAUAUGUGGAGAAGUUCAGCCAAAGCCUCAACCACAUCCCAAAGCUGCGCUACUCCCUGGGGUACGACCACCAGAAGAGAGAACUGUGUGUGUCUCUCCUAGAAGCUGUUGGUUGCCCACUUACCAAGGAGGAGGAGCCUGGGAGUCACCGCUACAUUGGGGGCACUCUCACCAGCAAUGGUGGGCAAACAGAAGCCCAGACCUCGCUGAUGAAUAGGACCCCACAUACAGUUUGGGACGAGGCUCUGCUGUUCCCCUUAUCAGAGGAGGAACGAGUAGAGGCUGAGCUAACACUCACCUUGAGGCACUGUGACCGCUACUCCAGGCACCAGGUAGCCGGGGAAAUCACCCUGAGUCUGGCUAAUCUAGGGGUUCCCUUUGGAGCAGCUCGGUGGGUGGGACUUUAGGCCUCCUGAGAAGUGAGCUGCGGCGGAACUCUGACCGUGCCGGUGGGAAUUUCUCCAGCCCCGGAUACACAGAAGCCUUACCCUCCUUUCAGUGACUGUACCUGGACUAUGAUUGCCCCGGUGGGGUACAAGUGAUAGCAAUGGUGGAAGGGGAAUGACGACGAAUGAUGAUGUUCUUCCUGGAUAAAACAGAGAGAAGAUCAGAAACAAAUAUUUCACAGCGCAACUGAACGCAAAGUUUGUAAAAGAUGUUGGUCUCAGGGGUCGGCGGCUCUGGGCAGAUGUCAACGCCACAUCCAACCGACGGAACCUGAUUAAGAGAGGAAAAUAAAUCAGAUUCACACAUUUCUGGAUUUUUCACCAAAAACCUCAAUCAUCAUUUUCACAAGAAUUUCCAUGUGCUUACAAACAAUACAAAUCAUGGAAACCCCUUGAGCCAAAUAUUCAAUAAAGGCUACAAUUUGCCCAGCGCGGCUCCCACUGACA